rnacentral:rRNA from 1 species
AUGAAGGCCCUCGCCGGCGACAGCAACGCCUCCGCGCCGCUUCUGCAGGAGGCCAAGAUCAGCAUCCCCGCCUCCUCCACGGGCGGGGCCGCGGAGGCGGCGCUCCUCGGGAAGGGCCGGUACAAGGUGUGGGCCCUCGCCGCCAUCGCGCUCCUCGCGCUCUGGUCCAUGUCCGCCGCCUCCGUCUCCCUCCGCUGGUCGGCCGGCGACCUGGCAGCCGUUAUUUCAGGGGACCUCGACGCGCCACUCCGCGACGAUCUAGAUUCCCUCGAGAUGGAGGAAAGGGAGAAAUUAGUUGGUCGGAUGUGGGACAUGUACACACGCACCAGCGACGAGGUACGCCUUCCACGGUUCUGGCAAGAAGCAUUCGAGGCUGCAUACGAGGAGCUUGCUGGUGAUGAUAUGCAGGUCCGCGACACGGCCAUCUCUGAGAUUGCUCGAAUGUCAGCCCACAGACUUGAGCUUGAGCAGCCUGUGAAUGCGAACGAGGAAGAGGGCAAGGUAAGCAUCAGGAAUAAUGAUCAUGGCAGAGCGAAGCAGUAG